UGCAGCGACGCCGCGUGAGGGAUGACGGCCUUCGGGUUGUAAACCUCUUUCAGUAGGGACGAAGCGCAAGUGACGGUACCUAUAGAAGAAGGACCGGCCAACUACGUGCCAGCAGCCGCGGUAAUACGUAGGGUCCGAGCGUUGUCCGGAAUUACUGGGCGUAAAGAGCUCGUAGGUGGUUUGUCGCGUUGUUCGUGAAAACUCACAGCUCAACUGUGGGCGUGCGGGCGAUACGGGCAGACUAGAGUACUGCAGGGGAGACUGGAAUUCCUGGUGUAGCGGUGGAAUGCGCAGAUAUCAGGAGGAACACCGGUGGCGAAGGCGGGUCUCUGGGCAGUAACUGACGCUGAGGAGCGAAAGCGUGGGGAGCGAACAGGAUUAGAUACCCUGGUAGUCCACGCCGUAAACGGUGGGUACUAGGUGUGGGUUUCCUUCCUUGGGAUCCGUGCCGUAGCUAACGCAUUAAGUACCCCGCCUGGGGAGUACGGCCGCAAGGCUAAAACUCAUAGAAAUUGACGGGGGCCCGCACAAGCGGCGGAGCACGUGUAUUAAUUCUAUGCAACGCGAAGAACCGUACCUGGGUUUGACAGGCAUUGGAGGUGCCUAGAGAUAGGUAGUCCCUUGUG
rnacentral:rRNA from 1 species